rnacentral:lncRNA from 1 species
UCCUAUCUCACAUGCACAGAAACCUCACACAAAGAGAGGAGCAAGCUCAUCUUCUUGUUGCCCUUUCCAGCUCUUGGUUAAGAAGGUACGAAACCUUCAAUACUGCUGAUAUAAAUGUCCUGGCUCAAGCCUUCAGUCACUGCCUCCAUUAAAAUGUAAAACCAGAUUCAACCCAUCACAGAGUGGCACCAGAGGAUUGUAAUUUCAUCCAGCAUGAUUUUUAUUAGCCUUGCAAUUUCUUAAUGGGCUCCCCUGAGGGCUGGCUGGUAGAAUCCUGCACUUCCAGUCCAGAUUUGCUACAGGCAGUGUAAUAAACAUGGCAUCUGUCCCAUGACAAUUGUCAUCACAUCCAACCAGGGUGCAGAAGGCAGAGCUAAAGGUUAACAAAACCACUGCUCAGGUGCCAGGGAGGUGAGUGGGGAGAAUGUUGGAAAUUGGAUUCUGCAGACAAGGGCUGCUUACUGUGUCCACAAUUCUUCCAACUUGGCCAGAGCUCCCAGAAGCCAAGCAGGCAGCUCACAGCCUCCUGCAAUGAGCAUCUUUUACACAUCUCAUCAGUGUCACUGUUCCUGACAUCUCAUUAUGCACCAGAGGUGGAAGUGGACAGCAGUCCUGCCUCACUACAAAGAACUUUUCAAACGUCUCUGAGAGCUGACUGCUGAGAAGAGACCCAGAGUAAAGUGGAGUCUGGGAUUCGCAAAGAUGUUUCUGGAAAUGCAGAAUUAACCACAGCAUCUAAUCGCAAGCAAGAGGCAUUUGGAAAAAGUGUAAAUAAGGACCAAAAGGUAUAACAGAUAAUGCGAAAUAGGAAGAAACGGGGCAAAGGGGAGGGGGAAGUGGGGGGGGGUAGGGGAAAGGAAAGAAGGGAAUGGAGUUAAUAUGAGGAAAUGGAAACAAAGUCUUUGGAAAUAGGGAGGGAUGGAGGGGUUGGUUGAAAGGAG